rnacentral:rRNA from 1 species
UACGUAGGGAGCAAGCGUUGUUCGGAUUUACUGGGCGUAAAGGGCGCGUAGGCGGCAAAUUAAGUCAGCUGUGAAAUCUCCGAGCUUAACUCGGAACUGUCAGCUGAUACUGAUCUGCUAGAGUGCGGAAAGGGCAAUCGGAAUUCUUGGUGUAGCGGUGAAAUGCGUAGAUAUCAAGAGGAACACCUGAGGUGAAGACGGGUUGCUGGGCCGACACUGACGCUGAGUGCGCGAAAGCCAGGGGAGCAAACGGG